rnacentral:misc_RNA from 1 species
AUUAUAAUGUGUAGCAAUGUUCUUAUUGACAAUAAAAUGUAUCCAGUAUCCCAAGAUGGUUUGUAAAUAUACUCUGGAGGACAUUGUCAGUGAAUUAUGUACCUCAAAUUGGGAUGCAAAAAAGCUUCUUUUUUUUUUUUAAACGACGAAGAUGUGAAAAAUAAUUACAUAUUUAAUGUCCCUGGUAUUGACACCUCCCAGUUUCAUCUGCCACAGUUACUCUUGACCUUCACAGAAGUUACUUACAAAAUUGCAAAGGCUGCUUCGUCGUGUAUGUUUUAUCUAUGGCAUGUCAACCGUCUCAUGAUCCGGAGUCUUGUAUGUGAAAGCUGAUUCAUCACUGGAUCGCCUUUUGACCACACUUGCUCUUUGCAUUAACCGAACCAGUGCUUGCACAACUUCAGACAUUGGGGGUCGAAACUCUGGUUCAGGCUGAACACAGAGUGCAAUAAUAUCAGCGAAACGGGACAAAGACUUUGCAGGAUACAUGCCAUUUAGUGCAGGAUCAACCAUUUUUGACAAGGCAUCUAUAUCAUGGAGUUGAGG